rnacentral:rRNA from 1 species
GACGAACGCUGGCGGCGUGCUUAACACAUGCAAGUCGAACGAUGAAGCCGGAGCUUGCUCUGGUGAAUUAGUGGCGAACGGGCGAGUAACACGUGAGUAACCUGCCCUUGACUCUGGGAUAACUGCGGGAAACCGUAGCUAAUACCGGAUACGACCCUCGGAGGCAUCUCCUGGGGGUGGAAAGAAUUUCGGUCAAGGAUGGACUCGCGGCCUAUCAGCUAGUUGGUGAGGUAAAGGCUCACCAAGGCGACGACGGGUAGCCGGCCUGAGAGGGUGACCGGCCACACUGGGACUGAGACACGGCCCAGACUCCUACGGGAGGCAGCAGUGGGGAAUAUUGCACAAUGGGCGCAAGCCUGAUGCAGCAACGCCGCGUGAGGGAUGACGGCCUUCGGGUUGUAAACCUCUUUUAGCAGGGAAGAAGCGAAAGUGACGGUACCUGCAGAAAAAGCACCGGCUAACUACGUGCCAGCAGCCGCCGCCG